rnacentral:rRNA from 1 species
GCUGGCCUUCCGAGGCAUGUGCACGCCCUGCUCAUCCACUCUACACCUGUGCACUUACUGUAGGUUGGCGUGGGUUUCUAGCCUCCGGGUUGGAAGCAUUCUGCCGGCCUAUGUACACUACAAACUCUUAAAGUAUCAGAAUGUAAACGCGUCUAACGCAUCUUAAUACAACUUUCAGCAACGGAUCUCUUGGCUCUCGCAUCGAUGAAGAACGCAGCGAAAUGCGAUAAGUAAUGUGAAUUGCAGAAUUCAGUGAAUCAUCGAAUCUUUGAACGCACCUUGCGCUCCUUGGUAUUCCGAGGAGCAUGCCUGUUUGAGUGUCAUGAAAUUCUCAACCCAUAAAUCCUUGUGAUCUAUGGGCUUGGAUUUGGAGGCUUGCUGGCCCUAGCGGUCGGCUCCUCUUGAAUGCAUUAGCUUGAUUCCGUGCGGAUCGGCUCUCAGUGUGAUAAUUGUCUACGCUGUGACCGUGAAGCGUUUUGGCAAGCUUCUAACCGUCCAUUAGGACAAUUUUAUAACAUCUGACCUCAAAUCAGGUAGGACUACCCGCUGAACUUAAGCAUAUCAAU